UAUGCAAAAGACAGUGCAUAGUAGACAGUUUGGUGAAAGUGGCAAGAGAGAGAGCCAACUGGACUGGGAGGAGUACUUCAUGGCCAUUGCAUUUCUGUCUGGAAUGAGAAGCAAAGACCCCGUCACGCAGGUCGGAGCGUGUAUUGUCAAUCCUAAGAAAAGGAUCGUCGGAACCGGUUACAACGGGAUGCCUAACAACUGUAGCGAUACACUGCUCCCCUGGGAAAAAAAAGAUGCUGCCA